rnacentral:rRNA from 1 species
AAUCCAUAGGUUAAUGAGGCGAACCGGGGGAACUGAAACAUCUAAGUACCCCGAGGAAAAGAAAUCAACCGAGAUUCCCCCAGUAGCGGCGAGCGAACGGGGAGGAGCCCAGAGCCUGAAUCAGCAUGUGUGUUAGUGGAAGCGUCUGGAAAGGCGCGCGAUACAGGGUGACAGCCCCGUACACAAAAGCGCAUGUGCUGUGAGCUCGAUGAGUAGGGCGGGACACGUGGUAUCCUGUCUGAAUAUGGGGGGACCAUCCUCCAAGGCUAAAUACUCCUGACUGACCGAUAGUGAACCAGUACCGUGAGGGAAAGGCGAAAAGAACCCCGGCGAGGGGAGUGAAAAAGAACCUGAAACCGUGUACGUACAAGCAGUGGGAGCACCCUUUGGGGUGUGACUGCGUACCUUUUGUAUAAUGGGUCAGCGACUUAUAUUCUGUAGCAAGGUUAACCGUAUAGGGGAGCCGGAGGGAAACCGAGUCUUAACCGGGCGUUAAGUUGCAGGGUAUAGACCCGAAACCCGGUGAUCUA